rnacentral:rRNA from 1 species
CGAACCGUCCAAACGUUAUUCGGAAUUACUGGGCUUAAAGGGUAUGUAGGCGGCGCUGUUAGUCGGGUGUGAAAUCCCUCGGCUCAACCGAGGAAUUGCGCCCGAUACUGCAGUGCUUGAGGGAGACAGAGGUAAGCGGAACUGAUGGUGGAGCGGUGAAAUGCGUUGAUAUCAUCAGGAACACCGGUGGCGAAAGCGGCUUACUGGGUCUCUUCUGACGCUGAGAUACGAAAGCUAGGGGAGCGAAGGGGAUUAGAUACCCCCGUAGUCCUAGCUGUAAACGUUGAGCACUUGAUCGAGGGCCCCCCCAUAGGCUCCCGGUCGUAGCGAAAGUGUUAAGUGCUCCGCCUGGGGAGUAUGGUCGCAAGGCUG